rnacentral:rRNA from 1 species
GACGAACGCUGGCGGCGUGCUUAACACAUGCAAGUCGAACGGUGAAAGCGGAGCUUGCUCCGCUGGAUCAGUGGCGAACGGGUGAGUAACACGUGGGCAACCUGCCCCUCACUUCGGGAUAACUCCGGGAAACAGGGGCUAAUACCGGAUAUGACCUCCUUGGGCAUCCUUGGAGGUGGAAAGUUUCUCGGUGAGGGAUGGGCCCGCGGCCUAUCAGCUUGUGGGUGGGGUAGUGGCGCACCAAGGCGACGACGGGUAGCCGGCCUGAGAGGGCGACCGGCCACACUGGGACUGAGACACGGCCCAGACUCCUACGGGAGGCAGCAGUGGGGAAUAUUGCGCAAUGGGCGAAAGCCUGACGCAGCAACGCCGCGUGCGGGAUGACGGCCUUCGGGUUGUAAACCGCUUUCAGCAGGGAAGAAGCCGCAAGGUGACGGUACCUGCAGAAGAAGCACCGGCUAACUACGUGCCAGCCGCCGCCGUAA